CCUGGACAUCAACAAAAUGCAAAGGCAGAAGGAACAAGGGUCUUCAGGUCCUCCCUCCAUUGGAUUGGAUCUCUUUAACUGAAGGGCCUACAUGAAGUUCUACCAAACCAAGUAUUUCAUUUCAUAGAGAGCUAUCCCAGGGGCUGGCUCCGUCAUGAAUCUGGACAGAGCAUGCAUUCGGUUUGAUGACCACUCCGAUAAAGGCUCUGAUUGUUGGCAGAGUGGCUUCUAUCAAGAGAAUCUAUCCAGACUCACGGAUGUCUUUCCCAGUUUACUGACCCUCCCAGGAAUUGAACAUGUUAGACCCUCCAAUAAACUUGACUGCGUUAGGGGAUUUACUUCCGGAUCUCCGUCCCUAGGACCGUCUGGAUGCUCCUUGAACAGUACCAUCUCAUCCCUUUCCCAAGUCCUUAAAUGUGCCCAGUGUCUCCCUUUACAAUGUAGUCACAGCCCCUUGCAAAUCACUGGAUGUCCAACCUAAAACACAGAGGCUUUUCCCUCCAAGGUCUUCACUUCAAGGAUAAACAGAUGGCACCUGCCCAAGGUCAUGUAGCUGCCUCGCUAUUUUUUCAAAUUGCUCCAGUUUGCCUAAUAUUAAACUUCAAAUUAAAAUGAAACAAAAAUGGUCUGGUGGGGCACAUUGGCACACGCCUGUAAUCCCAAGACUUGGGCAGUUGAGGCAGCGAGAUAAUGAGAGGCCACUAUGGCCUACCCAGUAAGAUCUUGCUUCAAAACCACAAAUGAACAAAUAAACAAUGAAGUACUGAUUCUUGUUAAACA
rnacentral:lncRNA from 1 species